GACGAACGCUGGCGGCGUGCUUAACACAUGCAAGUCGAACGGUAAGGCCCUUCGGGGUACACGAGUGGCGAACGGGUGAGUAACACGUGGGUGAUCUGCCCUGCACUUCGGGAUAAGCCUGGGAAACUGGGUCUAAUACCGGAUAGGACCACUGCCUGCAUGGGUGGUGGUGGAAAGCUUUUGCGGUGUGGGAUGGGCCCGCGGCCUAUCAGCUUGUUGGCGGGGUGAUGGCCUACCAAGGCGACGACGGGUAGCCGGCCUGAGAGGGUGACCGGCCACACUGGGACUGAGAUACGGCGCAGACUCCUACGGGAGGCAGCAGUGGGGAAUAUUGCACAAUGGGCGCAAGCCUGAUGCAGCGACGCCGCGUGAGGGAUGACGGCCCUCGGGUUGUAAACCUCUUUCAGCACCGACGAAGCGCAAGUGACGGUAGGUGCAGAAGAAGGACCGGCCAACUACGUGCCAGCCGCCGCGGUAA
rnacentral:rRNA from 1 species